UGGGGAAUAUUGGACAAUGGGCGCAAGCCUGAUCCAGCCAUGCCGCGCGAGUGAUGAAGGCCCUUGGGUUGUAAAGCUCUUUCACCGGUGAAGAUAAUCACGGUAACUGGAGAAGAAGCCCCGCCUCACUUCGUGCCAGCAGCCGCGGUAAUACGAAGGGGGCUCGCGUUGUUCGGAUUUACUGGGCGUAUAGCGCACGUAGGCGGACUUUUAAGUCAGGGGUGAAAUCCCGGGGCUCAACCCCGGAACUGCCUUUGAUACUGGAAGUCUUGAGUAUGGUAGAGUUGAGUGGAAUUCCGAGUGUAGAGGUGAAAUUCGUAGAUAUUCGUAGGAACACCAUUGGCGAAGGCGGCUCACUUGACCAUUACAUACUCUGAGGUGCGAAAGCGGGUGGAGCAAACAGG
rnacentral:rRNA from 1 species